ACGAGGCGAAAGCGGGUAAGUUCUUUCUGUUCUGAAGUAGCAUAGCGAGAAUGUGUGCUCAGGCCAAAAAAAAAAAAAAGAUAAAAAUACGGAUGUUUUCUGGUCUUUUCCGAGGGCUUCACAAAUUUAUGAUUUCGUCGGAGGAGAUUUGGACAGCUUUAUCCUUAAUCUUCAUCUUCAGACUUAUUUUUUGUGAACCGCUGUCUGUCCCAUGAAUUUCAUAUUUGUAUUUAUGUAUUGCAGCUAAAUUCCCAAUAAAAGUUCUUUGUUCAAA